rnacentral:lncRNA from 1 species
GAAAAAACAUAUCUUUUGGAUUAACAGAAUGCCGUGGUGACAUCCAUGAUCGGAUACAAAUCCUGUCUACUUCUAAUUCAAAUACGGCCAUAUAUGGGCAACUUCUAUCAAACAGACCUGCAAUAAAACCUCUGCAUUUUGUGUUCACCUUUAAAGCAACCGAAAGAUAAUGCUUGUAUAAUUUAGACAAGGAAAGGACUGAAGCUCGGGAAUACUGCAGGAAGCCAUAACCUGGAGCUGGAGCUGCUGGUAAAAUUAUGCAGAUAGAG